rnacentral:rRNA from 1 species
AGUACGGCGGAACACGAGAAAUUCCGUCGGAAUCCGCGGGGACCAUCCCGCAAGGCUAAAUACUCCCUAGUGACCGAUAGUGAACCAGUACCGUGAGGGAAAGGUGAAAAGCACCCCGGAAGGGGAGUGAAAUAGAUCCUGAAACCGUGUGCCUACAACAAGUCAAAGCUCGUUAAUGAGUGAUGGCGUGCCUUUUGUAGAAUGAACCGGCGAGUUACGAUUGCAUGCGAGGUUAAGUCGAAGAGACGGAGCCGCAGCGAAAGCGAGUCUGAAUAGGGCGAAUGAGUAUGUAGUCGUAGACCCGAAACCAUGUGAUCUACCCAUGUCCAGGUUGAAGGUGCGGUAAAACGCACUGGAGGACCGAACCCACGUACGUUGAAAAGUGCGGGGAUGAGGUGUGGGUAGCGGAGAAAUUCCAAACGAACUUGGAGAUAGCUGGUUCUCUCCGAAAUAGCUUUAGGGCUAGCCUCGGAAUUGAGAAUGAUGGAGGUAGAGCACUGUUUGGACUAGGGGCCCAUCUCGGGUUACCGAAUUCAGAUAAACUCCGAAUGCCAUUCAUUUAUAUCCGGGAGUCAGACUGCGAGUGAUAAGAUCCGUAGUCGAAAGGGAAACAGCCCAGACCACCAGCUAAGGUCCCAAAAUAUAUGUUAAGUGGAAAAGGAUGUGGGGUUGCACAGACAACUAGGAUGUUGGCUUAGAAGCAGCCACCAUUUAAAGAGUGCGUAAUAGCUCACUAGUCGAGUGACCCUGCGCCGAAAAUGUACC